rnacentral:rRNA from 1 species
UGGAGGAAAGCAGGGGAUCGCAAGACCUUGCGCUAAAGGAGCGGCCGAUGUCUGAUUAGCUAGUUGGUGGGGUAAAAGCCUACCAAGGCGACGAUCAGUAGUUGGUCUGAGAGGACGACCAACCACACUGGGACUGAGACACGGCCCAGACUCCUACGGGAGGCAGCAGUGGGGAAUUUUGGACAAUGGGCGCAAGCCUGAUCCAGCCAUGCCGCGUGGGUGAAGAAGGCCUUCGGGUUGUAAAGCUCUUUCAGUCGGAAAGAAACGAUUGUGAUUAAUACUCACAAUUAAUGACGGUACCGACAGAAGAAGCACCGGCUAACUACGUGCCAGCAGCCGCGGUAAUACGUAGGGUGCGAGCGUUAAUCGGAAUUACUGGGCGUAAAGGGUGCGCAGGCGGUCUUGUAAGUCAGAUGUGAAAUCCCCGGGCUUAACCUGGGAAUGGCGUUUGAA